rnacentral:rRNA from 1 species
ACGGGGCCGCACAAGCGGUGGAGCAUGUGGUUAAUUCGACGCAACGCGAAGAACCUUACCAGGGCUUGACAUCCCCUGACCGCGUAUGAAAGUACGUUUUCACCCUCGGGUGACAGGGAGACAGGUGGUGCAUGGUUGUCGUCAGCUCGUGUCGUGAGAUGUUGGGUUAAGUCCCGCAACGAGCGCAACCCCUACGUUUAGUUGCUAACGCGUGAAGGCGAGCACUCUAGACGAACUGCCGUUGACAAAACGGAGGAAGGUGGGAUGACGUCAAAUCAUCAUGCCCCUUAUGUUCUGGGCUACACACGUGCUACAAUGGCCGGUACAGACGGACGCAAAGCCGCGAGGUGGAGCAAAUCCUAAAAAGCCGGUCUCAGUUCGGAUUGCAGGCUGCAAUUCGCCUGCAUGAAGUCGGAAUCGCUAGUAAUCGCAGGUCAGCAUACUGCGGUCGAAUACGUUCCCGGGCCUU